rnacentral:misc_RNA from 1 species
UUUCAAUACAAUUAACUUUAUUUAGAUAAAUUUUAAUAAGAAUAAAAUGAGCAGUGAUGAUUUUAUUAGAAAGAAAGAAAAUUCAAUGUUUUUUAAAGAAUAUAAACAACAGUACCUAAAAGAGAGACAAGCAAAGUUAAAAGAGAAUUCCGAUAUAGAUUGCAGCAAUAGAGAAGAAGAUUUCACUGAGGAUUCUUUUUUUGGUAUUGAUCAAACAAAAUUGCUUCAUGUGGAACUUUCAGAGAUAAGCAGAAAGCUUCAUCAUGAAAGCAAAAAGUUGCAUCUACAGGAAGUCAUGUUAAAUGAAAAAGAAGCUAAAUUAAAUAAGAUUGAAAAUAAACUUGCUGACUAUGCUCUUUCUUUGGAAGAGAUUGUUGAAAGUGUGAAGAAGAAAUCUCAAGAAUUAGAACAAGAGUUUAUUGUCAAAAUGGAAAGUUUAAAAAAUGAAAAUGUCAAGUUUAAAAAAUCUUUUCAAAUGAUAAAGAAAGCUGGCGACAAAAUGAAAGAAAAAAUUUUGUUUUUGCAAGAAAAAUUACAACAUAGUGAAGAAAAAAACUUAUCCCAACAACAUAGAAUAACGAAUUUACAACGGCAAGUUGACAUUUUAAAACAGCAGCUAAAAGAACAAGAAGCUCCAAAAGCUAAAGUAAAAACAGAUUUAAAGAAUGACGAAAAAACAAGUAAAUUUUUAGAUACAAUUUGUACAAACUUUGUUGGAUCUGUGUUACAAUGGAUAACAGAAGGUCAUUUAAUUGAGAAAGUCAAAAGUUCUAUUGCCAACAUAAAAAAUGGCAGCCAAAUGGCAGAAUCUGAUUUUGAUGUUAAUGUUACCAAUGAAAGAUGUAUGAAGGUGCUUGUAACCUUUCCAUCUCUUAUUGAACAUAUAUCUCAACAAGAGGAACUUUUUAUUCUUCAGUUUAUAUAUUGGUCUCUAAUUUAUUCUUGCCUCACAAAAAGUUCGCAGAAAGCAACCCAUAAGUCAACGCUUCGCAGGAUUGGUGAGCAAUUGUACAUGCAACAAAAGUUCUGUCAUAAAAGUGUGAAAAGAUUUUUUAACAGUAAUGAUUGUCAUGCAAGGUUGCUUUCCUGCAUGAUCAUCUUGUUUACAAUAACUCAAGCUGACAUAUUGUCUCAAGUAUUUCACUGUUUAUGUAUUGAUCUGCAAAAUGAUAAGGCAAAAGAAUUAUUUGUUCAAUAUCAUGCUACCUUUGCGUUGUAUCCUUUAUUUAAACUCACAAAUAAAUUUUUAUGCUAGGUUUGUAUGGAAUAUACAGUAGAUGUGUUAAUGGUUCUAUCUUCAGAAACAUUAUAUCUGCGAGAGUUUCUUAAAAGCAUUAGCAAUGUUGAAUGGAUUCAA